ACCUGCGUAUAAUUUUGUGUGCUCAGAAGAACAAAUACACUUAUUGAUCCAAGGAGAGAAAUUUAUUAAAAGAGCCGAUCUGGUUUUAGGCAGCAAAUUUUUCCAAAGCUGAAAGGCAGUGCUCAUUAAAUAAUUGUACUUGAGAAUCAAGAUAACCAUCUGGCAUAAUAAUAAGGCUUAUAAAAGACAGCAGAAAGCCUUUCUGCAGAGAGAUUUAGGAAUGCAAGAGUUAACAUCACAACAGAAAGAACAAUAUCCAAAUUAAAAGACAAAACACAACUAUGAUCAAAAAUAAAAUGACGCUCAGAAAAGCAGAAUAAAUUUUUAAACCAAGAUUUGAAAACGAGGUUCAGAGUAUGUCCUCUGCUUUGUGUCAGACCUGUGAUGUCUUGAGUAACAUUAAAAGACUAUUGCUUAAUUUAUUUAUUGGAAACAUCAUCAAUAUGAAUGUUGAAGUCACCAUGAUUCAUAAGUAUAGAUUCUGUAACAACAGGCAAUUAAAAAAAAUCACUUAAUUCUAGCUGUGUGCAUGUCUCCCUCCCUUAUAAAACAAUUCAGUAUGUAUCUGGAAACAAGAGCUGUGAUACGAUUCGGGGACAAUAGUUUUUUAUUAUGGAACAUUCCAGUGCAGUUUGAUUCGGGGCAGUAUGAUGCAAUCCAGUGCAAUUCUUUGUUUAAUGUAGACAUUUGUGUGCCAUGAUAAAAUAAA